rnacentral:tRNA from 1 species
ACCUGGCUGGCUCAGUUGGUAGGGCAUAUGAUUCUUGAUCUUGGAGUCAUGAGUUCAAGCCCCAUGCUGGUG